rnacentral:ncRNA from 1 species
AUGUUAUAUGAAAGGUAAGAUUAGCAUUCCCUUUGACAUAUAUGGAAGAGGCCUUCACGCCUAACAACACACACACAGCUGAUGCCUUGCCACCUACUUGAAUGAAAAGUCACACCACAGGGCACUGGAUUUGGCUUUGAGGUAGCAGGUUAA